rnacentral:rRNA from 1 species
CACCCGCCGCGAACUUAGAAGGGCUUCUUUGGGGUAGACACUUAGUGUCUUUAAAUGUCGUCGCACGUCUCGUUGGAAACCUUACCUUUCUAGUACGUCGACCGAUGGAACGAAAGGAGUUUUUCCGAGACUGCCACCCGGCCCCGUUUUUUUUUUCAUCGUCAACGUGCUUGCGACUGUACCGUAUAUGGAGAAAGGAAAAACGAGAGACAACUUUUAACGGUGGAUCUCUUGGCUCGUGCAUCGAUGAAGAACGCAGCCAGCUGCGAUAAGUAGUGUGAAUUGCAGAAUUCAGUGAAUCAUCGAAUCUUUGAACGCAAAUGGCGCUCUCGGGUUCUCCCGGGAGCACGUCCGUCUGAGUGUCGGCAUAUAAUAUCGCACGAGAAGACCGUGCGGCGUUGAGGCGUCGCGGCGUGCAGGCCGCGUCCCUCGAAAUGCAGGAGAACCGCCGUGUAGCGAGAUCCUCGGAGGCCUAAAACGAGUUGGUUCCCCGCGAUCCGCAGCAGCCGGUUCGGUUCGACAAAAAGUGACACCAUAUCGCAUCUCGACCUCA